rnacentral:rRNA from 1 species
UUGAUCAUGGCUCAGGAUGAACGCUAGCGGCAGGCUUAACACAUGCAAGUCUAGGGGCAUCGGGAGGGAAGCUUGCUUUCCUUGCCGGCGACCGGCGCACGGGUGAGUAACACGUAUGCAACCUGCCCUCUUCAGGGGGACAACCUUCCGAAAGGGAGGCUAAUCCCGCGUAUAUCGGUUUCGGGCAUCCGAGAUCGAGGAAAGAUUCAUCGGAAGAGGAUGGGCAUGCGGCGCAUUAGCUAGACGGCGGGGUAACGGCCCACCGUGGCGACGAUGCGUAGGGGUUCUGAGAGGAAGGUCCCCCACACUGGUACUGAGACACGGACCAGACUCCUACGGGAGGCAGCAGUGAGGAAUAUUGGUCAAUGGGAGAGAUCCUGAACCAGCCAAGCCGCGUGAGGGAAGACGGCCCUAUGGGUUGUAAACCUCUUUUGUCGGAGAACAAAACCCGGGACGUGUCCCGGACUGCGUGUAUCCGAAGAAAAAGCAUCGGCUAACUCCGUGCCAGCAGCCGCGGUAAUACGGAGGAUGCGAGCGUUAUCCGGAUUUAUUGGGUUUAAAGGGUGCGUAGGCGGUCCGUUAAGUCAGCGGUAAAAUUGCGGGGCUCAACCCCGUCGAGCCGUUGAAACUGGCAGACUUGAGUUGGCGAGAAGUACGCGGAAUGCGCGGUGUAGCGGUGAAAUGCAUAGAUAUCGCGCAGAACUCCGAUUGCGAAGGCAGCGUACCGGCGCCAGACUGACGCUGAGGCACGAAAGCGUGGGGAUCGAACAGGAUUAGAUACCCUGGUAGUCCACGCAGUAAACGAUGAAUGCUGGUUGUCCGGGUCGAAUGAGAUCUGGGCGGCGAAGCGAAAGCGAUAAGCAUUCCACCUGGGGAGUACGCCGGCAACGGUGAAACUCAAAGGAAUUGACGGGGGCCCGCACAAGCGGAGGAACAUGUGGUUUAAUUCGAUGAUACGCGAGGAACCUUACCCGGGCUCAAACGGGAGUGGAAUGGACCAGAGACGGUUCAGCCUACGGGCCGCUUCCGAGGUGCUGCAUGGUUGUCGUCAGCUCGUGCCGUGAGGUGUCGGCUUAAGUGCCAUAACGAGCGCAACCCCCGCCGGCAGUUGCUAACGGGCAAUGCCGAGGACUCUGCCGGGACUGCCGCCGCAAGGCGUGAGGAAGGCGGGGAUGACGUCAAAUCAGCACGGCCCUUACGUCCGGGGCGACACACGUGUUACAAUGGGCGGUACAGCGGGAAGCCAGGCGGCGACGCCGAGCGGAACCCGAAAGCCGUUCUCAGUUCGGAUCGGAGUCUGCAACCCGACUCCGUGAAGCUGGAUUCGCUAGUAAUCGCGCAUCAGCCAUGGCGCGGUGAAUACGUUCCCGGGCCUUGUACACACCGCCCGUCAAGCCAUGGGAGCCGGGGGUGCUUGAAGUGCGUCGCCGUGAGGCGCGCCCUAGAGCAAAACCGGUGACUGGGGCUAAGUCGUAACAAGGUAGCCGU